rnacentral:rRNA from 1 species
CCCUAAGGACGAAGACACCACGGGAAACUGUGGAUAAUCUGCGAUAGGAAAUUCGGCCUGGAACGGUGUCUUUCCAAAAACCGGCUCGCCGUGAGACACGGGCCUUAGGAUGAGGCUGCGGACGAUUAUGCUUGAUGGCGGUGUAAAGGACCACCAUGGCGACGAUCGGUAUGGGCGAUGGAAGUCGGAGCCCAGAGUCUGCUACUGAGACAAGGAGCCGAGCUUUACGAAGCUUAGCGGUCGCCAAAACUCGCCAAUGCACGAAAGUGUGAGUGGGCUACUCCAAGUGUCAUUCUUACGGAUGACUGUCGCUCAGUCUUACACGCCGAGAAAGGAAGGAGAGGGCAAGGCUGGUGCCACCCGCCGCGGUAAAACCAGCUCUUCGAGUGGUCAGGACGUAUAUUGGGUCUAAAG